rnacentral:rRNA from 1 species
UGCGUAGGUGGCCUUUUAAGUUGGAUGUGAAAUACCCGGGCUUAACUUGGGGGGUGCAUCUAAUACUGGAGGGCUAGAGUGCAGGAGAGGAAAGCGGAAUUCCUAGUGUAGCGGUGAAAUGCGUAGAUAUUAGGAGGAACACCAGUGGCGAAGGCGGCUUUCUGGACUGUAACUGACACUGAGGCACGAAAGCGUGGGGAGCAAACA